UGACUGGGGCGGUCUCCUCCUAAAGAGUAACGGAGGAGCACGAAGGUUGGCUAAUCCUGGUCGGACAUCAGGAGGUUAGUGCAAUGGCAUAAGCCAGCUUGACUGCGAGCGUGACGGCGCGAGCAGGUGCGAAAGCAGGUCAUAGUGAUCCGGUGGUUCUGAAUGGAAGGGCCAUCGCUCAACGGAUAAAAGGUACUCCGGGGAUAACAGGCUGAUACCGCCCAAGAGUUCAUAUCGACGGCGGUGUUUGGCACCUCGAUGUCGGCUCAUCACAUCCUGGGGCUGAAGUAGGUCCCAAGGGUAUGGCUGUUCGCCAUUUAAAGUGGUACGCGAGCUGGGUUUAGAACGUCGUGAGACAGUUCGGUCCCUAUCUGCCGUGGGCGCUGGAGAACUGAGGGGGGCUGCUCCUAGUACGAGAGGACCGGAGUGGACGCAUCACUGGUGUUCGGGUUGUCAUGCCAAUGGCACUGCCCGGUAGCUAAAUGCGGAAGAGAUAAGUGCUGAAAGCAUCUAAGCACGAAACUUGCCCCGAGAUGAGUUCUCCCUGAGACUUAGAGUCUCCUGAAGGAACGUUGAAGACGACGACGUUGAUAGGCCGGGUGUGUAAGCGCAGCG
rnacentral:rRNA from 1 species